UACAGAGGGUGCAAGCGUCAAUCGGAAUUACUGGGCGUAAAGCGUGCGCAGACGGUUGCGUAAGUCAGAUGUGAAAGCCCCGGGCUCAACCUGGGAAUUGCAUUUGAGACUGCGUAGCUAGGGUGCGGAAGAGGGAAGCGGAAUUUCCGGUGUAGCGGUGAAAUGCGUAGAGAUCGGAAAGAACACCAACGGCGAAAGCACUCUGCUGGGCCGACACUGACACUGAGAGACGAAAGCUAGGGGAGCGAAUGGG
rnacentral:rRNA from 1 species